GGGGAUUUAGCUCAGUGGUAGAGCGCUUGCCUAGCAAGCACAAGGCCCUGGGUUCGAUCCCCAGCUCUG
rfam:Rattus norvegicus chromosome 1, whole genome shotgun sequence.